rnacentral:rRNA from 1 species
UACGUAGGGUGCGAGCGUUGUCCGGAAUUACUGGGCGUAAAGAGCUCGUAGGUGGUUUGUCGCGUCGUCUGUGAAAUUCCGGGGCUUAACCUCGGGCGUGCAGGAGAUACGGGCAAUACUUGAGUGCUGUAGGGGAGACUGGAAUUCCUGGUGUAGCGGUGAAAUGCGCAGAUAUCAGGAGGAACACCGAUGGCGAAGGCAGGUCUCUGGGCAGUAACUGACGCUGAGGAGCGAAAGCAUGGGUAGCGAACAGGAUUAGAUACCA